GGUGAUUAGGAUACGUCUCCCAUGCAGGCUCCGUGUAUCCGGCAUCGAACUGCUUGGGUGUAUCUAUUUCGUUCGUGGCUUCGCCCCGGCGUUUUCAUGGCCGGUUGCGACUACUCGUUGGGUUCCCGUGCUUGAUAUCGAGUUCGGUAGUUGGAUGGAUUGACGCUCCCCGUCAUGGUUUAUUUGUCCCCCGUGCCUCGUGCGGCUACGGGGGAUGUUGUGCGGGCAUAGACGUCUUCCUCUCGAGCCGUUGUCCCCCGUUUGGGAGCCUCCGCUCGUGAUGGCGCGUUGAUGCCACCGGCACCCUCGGGUACGGAGGUUUUUCGGCUGUCGCAUUGGCCUUCGACCCUUGCGACCGUUAAGCUCUCUCUUGCUUAUGAAUGGUAUGACCCUCGUGCUCGCCUAAGAGCUCACGGAGCCUCGUUGUUCGGUGUUCUUCUUGGGGAGAUAUCGAGGCCUACAAAGGAAUGCUACCUGGUUGAU
rnacentral:misc_RNA from 1 species